rnacentral:rRNA from 1 species
GGAUGCAAGCGUUAUCCGGAAUCAUUGGGCGUAAAGCGCCUGUAGGUGGCCUAAUAAGUCUGUUGUUAAAGACCAGGGCUUAACCCUGGGAAAGCAAUGGAAACUACUAGGCUUGAGUAUGGUAGGGGUAGAGGGAAUUUCUAGUGUAGCGGUGAAAUGCGUAGAUAUUAGAAAGAACACCGGUGGCGAAAGCGCUCUACUGGGCCAUUACUGACACUCAGAGGCGAAAGCUAGGGGAGCGAAAGGGAUUAGAUACCCCUGUAGUCCUAGCCGUAAACGAUGGAUACUAGGUGUUGUAUUUUAAUACAGUAUCGUAGCUAACGCGUUAAGUAUCCCGCCUGGGGAGUACGCUCGCAAGGGUGAAACUCAAAGGAAUUGACGGGGGCCCGCACAAGCGGUGGAGCAUGUGGUUUAAUUCGAUGCAACGCGAAGAACCUUACCAGGGCUUGACAUACUACAAAUCUUUUUGAGACGAAAGAGUGCCUUCGGGAAUGUAGAUACAGGUGGUGCAUGGCUGUCGUCAGCUCGUGUCGUGAGAUGUUGGGUUAAGUCCCGCAACGAGCGCAACCCUCGUUUUUAGUUGCCAAUUUAUUGGGAUUUCUAAAGAGACUGCCGAUGAUAAAUCGGAGGAAGGUGAGGAUGACGUCAAGUCAGCAUGCCCCUUAUGUCCUGGGCCACACACGUGCUACAAUGGCAAAGACAAAGAGUCGCAAAUUCGCGAGAACUAGCUAAUCUCAUAAACUUUGCCUAAGUUCGGAUUGUA